AACGAACGCUGGCGGCAUGCCUAACACAUGCAAGUCGAACGAGACCUUCGGGUCUAGUGGCGCACGGGUUCGUAACGCGUGGGAACCUGCCCUUAGGUUCGGAAUAACUCCCCGAAAGGGGUGCUAAUACCGGUUAAUGUCUUCGGACCAAAGAUUUAUGGCCUUUGGUUGGGCCCGCGUUGGAUUAGCUAGUUGGUAGGGUAAAAGCCUACAAAGGCGACGAUCCAUAGAUGGUCUGAGAGGAUGAUAAGCCACACUGGGACUGAGACACGGCCCAGACUACUAGGGGAGGGAGGAGAGGGGAAUAUAGGAAAAUGGGCGAAAGCAUGAAACAGCAAUGACGGGUGAGUGAUGAAGGGAUUAGGGUUGUAAAGCACUUUUACCAGGGAAGAUAAUGACAGUACCGGGAGAAUAAGCAACGGCUAACUACGUG
rnacentral:rRNA from 1 species